rnacentral:tRNA from 2 species
GUCUCCGUAGCUCAAUUGGAUAGAGCGUUGGCCUCCGAAGCCGAAGGUUGCAGGUUCGAGCCCUGCCGGGGAUA